rnacentral:rRNA from 1 species
GACGAACGCUGGCGGCAGGCUUAACACAUGCAAGUCGAGCGAGGACUUCGGGCUUAGCGGCGGUCGGGUGAGUAACGCGUGGUAAGGUGCCCUUCUCUACGGAAUAGCCCUGGGAAAGUGGAAGUAAUACCGCAUACGCUCAUUCGGGGUAAGAUUUAUCGGAGAAGGAUCAGGCCGCGUUGGAUUAGGUAGUUGGGGGGGUAAUGGCCUAUUAAGCCGACGUUCCAUAGCUGGUUGGAGAGGAUGCCCAGCCACAAUGGGACUGCGACACGGCCCAGACUCCGACGGGACGCUGCAGAUUGGAGUAUUAGACAAUGAGGGCAAACCUAGUAUAGCCAUGCCGCGUGGGUGAUGAAUGCCUUUGGAUUGUAAAGCUCUAUCAGCUGAGAAGAUAAUGACGGUAACGGCAGAAGAAGCCCCGGCUAACUACGUG